CUUUAACUUUAAUGUGGAAGUGCUUUCUGUGAUUCUAAAAUAUAGUAAGUGCUUCCAUGUUUUAGUGUAAG
rnacentral:pre_miRNA from 12 species